AGAUUUAAGUGAGGAUAUGGACUUACGGUCUGAAAUAAAUGUGAAAUGAAAUGAAAAUAAAAAUAUUAAGAGGGCCGGCGUAGCGACAAACACAGAUUCCAAGCUGUGAAUAAGGACAGUGUGGCUAUGUCAAGUCCCAACACACCUAGAAAUACACUGAUUGGAGAUUAGAUUGACAAUCCAGUAUACAGUACUGUACGACACUAUAUUCUGUUGAGUCCCAGCCACAACCGAUGUACCAACCGCUUCUACAAUGGGGUUUUUGGUGGUUGCACACAAUCCAGGUCAUUGUCAGUUUAGAGCUUGAUGGUGUUGCUCGUUUUCGUUUAGAUAAAUGGAGAUAACUACAAGCUAUCACAUACUAUUACCAUGACCUUCUACACCAACCCAGGGAACAGAGGACCCUGCGGAAAAUACCUCAAAUACCAACAGAGGGUGCACGUCAUCAGAUGACAUCGGCCGAUGACGAAAUGAUCUGAGAUUAGGUCAUUUACCUGAUGAAGAUACUAUUUCGAAACCGGUUUAAAUACUGUAGUGUUUAAACAAGCUUAAAAA